UAGGGAAUCUUCGGCAAUGGACGAAAGUCUGACCGAGCAACGCCGCGUGAGUGAAGAAGGUUUUCGGAUCGUAAAACUCUGUUGUUAGAGAAGAACAAGGACGUUAGUAACUGAACGUCCCCUGACGGUAUCUAACCAGAAAGCCACGGCUAACUACGUGCCAGCAGCCGCGGUAAUACGUAGGUGGCAAGCGUUGUCCGGAUUUAUUGGGCGUAAAGCGAGCGCAGGCGGUUUCUUAAGUCUGAUGUGAAAGCCCCCGGCUCAACCGGGGAGGGUCAGUGGAAACUGGGAGACUUGAGUGCAGAAGAGGAGGGUGGAAUUCCAGGUGUAGCGGUGAAAUGCGUAGAUAUAUGGAGGAAAACCAGUGGCGAAGGCGGCUCUCUGGUCUGUAACUGACGCUGAGGCUCGAAAGCGUGGGGAGCAAACAGG
rnacentral:rRNA from 1 species